rnacentral:rRNA from 1 species
UACGAAGGGGGCUAGCGUUGCUCGGAAUCACUGGGCGUAAAGGGUGCGUAGGCGGCCUAUUAAGUCAGGGGUGAAAGACGGUAGCUUAACUAUCGCAGUGCCUUUGAUACUGAUGGGCUUGAAUGUACUUGAGGUAGGCGGAAUGUGACAAGUAGCGGUGAAAUGCAUAGAUAUGUCACAGAACACCAAUUGCGAAGGCAGCUUACUAAAGUAUGAUUGACGCUGAGGCACGAAAGCGUGGGGAUCAAACAGG